rnacentral:misc_RNA from 1 species
GUAGGUGAACCUGCGGAAGGAUCAUUAACGAAUUUGCCGAAAGGCUUUUUUUAUUUUCACCAGUGGUCUCUUUUGGAAACAAAGGAGUUGAUUGUUUCAUUUAGUUAGUCUGAUGUUUAAAGCAUGAAAGUGCAAAGAAAAAUUAAAACUUUCAACAACGGAUCUCUUGGUUCCC